UCGCUCAACGGAUAAAAGGUACUCCGGGGAUAACAGGCUGAUACCGCCCAAGAGUUCAUAUCGACGGCGGUGUUUGGCACCUCGAUGUCGGCUCAUCACAUCCUGGGGCUGAAGUAGGUCCCAAGGGUAUGGCUGUUCGCCAUUUAAAGUGGUACGCGAGCUGGGUUUAGAACGUCGUGAGACAGUUCGGUCCCUAUCUGCCGUGGGCGCUGGAGAACUGAGGGGGGCUGCUCCUAGUACGAGAGGACCGGAGUGGACGCAUCACUGGUGUUCGGGUUGUCAUGCCAAUGGCACUGCCCGGUAGCUAAAUGCGGAAGAGAUAAGUGCUGAAAGCAUCUAAGCACGAAACUUGCCCCGAGAUGAGUUCUCCCUGACUCCUUGAGAGUCCUGAAGGAACGUUGAAGACGACGACGUUGAUAGGCCGGGUGUGUAAGCGCAGCGAUGCGUUGAGCUAACCGGUACUAAUGAACCGUGAGG
rnacentral:rRNA from 1 species